rnacentral:rRNA from 1 species
GUGCCAGCAGCCGCGGUAAUACGGAGGAUCCAAGCGUUAUCCGGAAUCAUUGGGUUUAAAGGGUCCGUAGGUGGAAGGUUAAGUCAGAGGUGAAAUCCUGCAGCUCAACUGUAGAAUUGCCUUUGAUACUGGCUUUCUUGAAUUACUGUGAAGUAGCUAGAAUAUGUAGUGUAGCGGUGAAAUGCAUAGAUAUUACAUAGAAUACCGAUUGCGAAGGCAGGUUACUAACAGUACAUUGACACUGAUGGACGAAAGCGUGGGUAGCGAACGGGAUUAGAUACCCCGGUAGUCCACGCCGUAAACGAUGGAUACUAGCUGUCCGGAUUUAUCUGGGUGGCUAAGCGAAAGUGAUAAGUAUCCCACCUGGGGAGUACGUUCGCAAGAAUGAAACUCAAAGGAAUUGACGGGGGCCCGCACAAGCGGUGGAGCAUGUGGUUUAAUUCGAUGAUACGCGAGGAACCUUACCAGGGCUUAAAUGUAGGCUGCAUGGGGUAGAGAUAUCCCUUUCUUCGGACUGCUUACAAGGUGCUGCAUGGUUGUCGUCAGCUCGUGCCCGUGAGGUGUCAGGUUUAAGUCCCUAUAACGAGCGCAACCCCUGUUGUUAGUUGCCAGCGAGUAAUGUCGGGAACUCUAACAAGACUGCCCGGUGCAAACCCGUGAG